GCGUCCUUGGUGUAGCGGUUACACGCAUCCUAUUUGUGCUCGUGUAACACAACGUCUUUAGGAUGAGACCGGGGUUCGACUCCCCGAAGACGCA